rnacentral:rRNA from 1 species
AGUGAACGCUGGCGGUAGGCCUAACACAUGCAAGUCGAACGGCAGCACAGUAAGAGCUUGCUCUUACGGGUGGCGAGUGGCGGACGGGUGAGGAAUACAUCGGAAUCUACUUUUUCGUGGGGGAUAACGUGGGGCAACUUACGCUAAUACCGCAUACGACCUACGGGUGAAAGCAGGGGAUCUUCGGACCUUGCGCGAUCGAAUGAGCCGAUGUCGGAUUAGCUAGUUGGCGGGGUAAAGGCCCACCAAGGCGACGAUCCGUAGCUGGUCUGAGAGGAUGAUCAGCCACACUGGAACUGAGACACGGUCCAGACUCCUACGGGAGGCAGCAGUGGGGAAUAUUGGACAAAGGGCGAAAGCCUGAUCCAGCCAUACCGCGUGGGUGAAGAAGGCCUUCGGGUUGUAAAGCCCUUUUGUUGGGAAAGAAAAGCAGCAGGUUAAUACCCCGCUGUUCCGACGGUACCCAAAGAAUAAGCACCGGCUAACUUCGUG